rnacentral:rRNA from 1 species
GACGAACGCUGGCGGCGUGCUUAACACAUGCAAGUCGAGCGGUAAGGCCCUUUCGGGGGUACACGAGCGGCGAACGGGUGAGUAACACGUGGGUGACCUGCCCUCCAGCUCUGGGGAUAAAGCCUGGGAAACCGGGGUCUAAUACUGGAUAUCGACUCCAUGACGCAUGUUGUGGGGUGGAAAGCCUUGUGCGGCUGAGGAUGGGCCCGCGGCCUAUCAGCUUGUUGGUGGGGUGAUGGCCUACCAAGGCGACGACGGGUAGCCGGCCUGAGAGGGCGACCGGCCACACUGGGACUGAGACACGGCCCAGA